rnacentral:lncRNA from 1 species
UUUUUUUUUCUUCAACAUUAUUGAUGUUUCUCAUGCUCUAUAUUUUACAGUUGUGCUUUGUUUCCUUAUUUUUUUCAACUCAUGUUCUCAUAAAGUAGCUUUCAGGCUCCGCUGUUCACACGUGCCCUGUGGCUAAGGUGAGAGUCCCAGGGAUUCCAUAGGGUGCAUUUCUCGUUUUUCCUAUGUGCCUUUGCAGUGCUUCAAGUGUACUCAUUUAGUUGCAGAUGCCUUCCCACCAUGAAGUCAGACGAUACCUACUGAGCAGUACUUCUGCACUAGAAUAGAAUCCUGGGAGUUGAAAGUGGUCUAGAAAGAUCCUCACCCUGAUUGAUAGUCAUGUCUGUUUUAGUAAUACUCAGAGUUGAUUCCAAGUCCAUUUAGUUCCUUCUCUUAACACCAAGAUACACUUUGGACUAUAAGGCAGUAUUUUUGUGACAGACCAUUCACAGGUGUCACUUGGGGGUGGGGGUUGGGGGAUGUCAUUUUUAGAAGAAUACAACUACGGUUCUCUUUUCCUAGUAAACUCCUCUGGGAAGAGUCUAUAACUGUGUACUGGAAAAGCAACCCAGUGUGUUCUUAUUCUAAAAUAAUGGCUGUCCUCAGUCUCCAUUUGUUUUUUCUGUGUCUCUGGAAUAUAGAAACUUAACAGCCUACAGAAAUGUUCCAGAAACGCAAGGUCUGAGACCAGUAGCAUUUCAGUGUCUAGAAUGUAAAGCUUGUCCCUGUCCCCUUCACUCCUCCCUCAGCUACCUCAUUUUGUCUCUGACAACCCCCUAUGUUCAGGAAUCUGCGCAUGCAUGAGCAUGGGUCCCACUUUAAAUGUGUUAGUGGAAACACAGCAUCUUUGUUUUUAGGGACAGAGAAGUAAAAGUUGGUAAAGUCACAGUGUUGGGUCUAUGCUUAAGGCCAAGAUGACAGGAUGGAUUUUCAAGUGCAAAGGGUUCUCUGAUAGUUACAGCUCUGAAAAGUAAGAUGGACUCCAAGCAGGUUCUGGCAGAUGGAACCUCAAGGUGCAGGCUGACAUCCACCAAGUGUGAAAGGAAGGGUGGCAUAGAGCG